UACGUAGGCAGCGAGCGUUGUUCGGAGUUACUGGGCGUAAAGCGUGCGUAGGCGGUGCUCCAAGUCUGGUUGUGAAAUCUCCCGGCUUAACUGGGAGGGUGCGGCGGAAACUGGGGUGCUGGAGUGCGGGAGAGGUAAGCGGAAUUCCCGGUGUAGCGGUGAAAUGCGUAGAUAUCGGGGAGGAACACCUGCGGUGUAGACGGCUUCUGGACCGUAAC
rnacentral:rRNA from 1 species